CACUAAAAUAAUAAUCAUAGUUUCAUAUAGUACGUAAAAGGCAAUUUAUCGCAGCAGAAUUAAAAUGGCGAAUAAGUGUGCAGAAAUUAAUGAAAAAAUAAGAAAAAGUUAGUAGGCUAGUACAGACAGAGAAUGAUUUUUGUUUCCUUAGAAUUAAUUACAGAUAUAGAUAAAGUAAUGAUGAUAGAAAGAGGAAUUAGAGGAGGAAUUUCACAGUAAUCGAUACGGAAAAGCAAAUAAUAAAUAUAUGGGAAAAGAAUAUGAUCCUAAAAUAGAGCCAUCAUAUUUAAUGUACUUUGAUGUAAACAAUUUAUAUGGAACCGCUAUGUGUGAGGCCUUACCGCAAGGUGGUGUCAUUGAUUGUGACUAUACCGGAGAAGUCCAAAUAGUCCUAUUUAAUCAUUCUGAGAAAGAUUUCUUCAUUAAGUCUGGCGAUCGAAUAGCUCAACUAAUAUGUGAGAAAAUUUAUUUUCCGAAAUUACGAGAAGUUGCAACUUUAGAAAAAACUGAACGUGCAGAUAAUGGUUUCGGAUCAUCUGGAGUAGCAUAAUUUAUUUAUUUUUUGUCAUAUACAUAAAUAAUAUCUAAUUAUUUACAAUACUAUUAUGUUACGUAUAAUAUAAAAAAUAAUUGUUUGUAAACUAAUUAUCCAUUUUAAUACAUAUAUUAACUCAUACCUUUAUUAUAAGCUAAGACUUCGUUUCAAUAAUGGUACUCUAUUGGAAAAUAAAGAAUGGAGAGCUAUUAGUGGAGAAUUAGAUCAAGAAAAUUCAUACUGUACUGCAUCAUCAAUCGUUAAACAUCAAAAUACUAAUUGUUUACAAACAAAUAGUUUAGGUUCGCCAGAGAUAAUCAAUAUUUACAUGUAUGUAACACAAAUGUUUAUUAUAAUAAUAUUUGGAUUUAUAUUAACUAAAAUGCUGUAUUUUAGGUAGCCAACAACAACAACAAUUUCAGAAUGUAAAUCGUUUACUUUAAUAAGAUAUUUAUUAAAUUAAUAUUAUAAUAA